AUGGAGGAUGCAGUCACUUCCAAUCUGGCUCCUAACAUUAUUGACCUCCCCGAUGAUGAUGAUGAAGAGCCCGAGAGGCCUUUGACGAGGAAAAAUAGGCAAGCUCUUGCAAGCAAGGUGCCACAGUCGACGCCGAGGGCGGAACCAGUCGUUCAGGACGCUGGUGAUGCCAAUCGGGGUUCUGUUACCUUCGCCGUGCCAUUGUCGAGUGCCUUGCCUUCUUCGUCGACUGCUCAGGCCCCUGUCGACCCACCUUCAGUUUUUGCGACCCACCAUGUCCCAGAGGACGAAGUGAAUGCUGCCAAGGAAGCCAUACGCCAGGCGGGCAUUAUGAUGGAGAAGAUGAAGACGGUGCGGGACGCCAGUCAGGCCGCCUAUGACGCCAGCUCGGCUCUCCAAAGCAACGUUCAGAAAUCUUGUGAUCUUGGAGCUCGCUUUGCUGACUUGGAGAAACAGCAGAUCCAGCUGAACCUUGACCUGGAAUUGGCCAAGACAGAGCUGCAAAAGGCCAAGGACGACGCCAAUGAAAAACUAAGAGAAGCUCUGGCGAAGAAGGAUCAGGAUUUGGUUGCUGCUCAAAAGGAAGCUGACGACAGAACCGCUCUGGCUGAACAGAAACUGGCUUCGGUCGGCCAGUUGGAAGAAGAGAACACCAAGAUGAAAUCUGCUCUGAACGAAGCCAACAAGGAGUGCACGUGCUUGAAGAAGGACAAUUUCAACCUGUACGAGAAGAUGGAAGGCAUCGCUCGCAGGAGGGACGAUCUGGAGAGCUAUCUGAGGAGCCUUGCCAAGAAGUUGUUCAUCAAGCUUGAAGAGCUUCGCCAGAACUUCGAGGAGGAGACUGGGCGGAUUGAGCCAGGACCACUGAAUCACGUUGUGGUGCGGGCGCCUUGA
rnacentral:rRNA from 1 species